GGAGGAUUAGUUCUAAUUGGUAAGACAGCGGUCUUGAAAACCGCCGCCCUUUGGGCUUGGGGGUUCGAGUCCCUCAUCCUCCGCCA
rnacentral:tRNA from 1 species